AUACGAAGGGUGCAAGCGUUAAUCGGAAUUACUGGGCGUAAAGCGCGCGUAGGUGGUUUGGUAAGAUGGAUGUGAAAUCCCCGGGCUCAACCUGGGAACUGCAUCCAUAACUGCCUGACUAGAGUACGGUAGAGGGUGGUGGAAUUUCCUGUGUAGCGGUGAAAUGCGUAGAUAUAGGAAGGAACACCAGUGGCGAAGGCGACCACCUGGACUGAUACUGACACUGAGGUGCGAAAGCGUGGGGAGCAAACAGGAUUAGAUACCCUGAUAGUCCACGCCGUGAACGAUGUCGACUAGCCGUUGGGAUCCUUGAGAUCUUAGUGGCGCAGCUAACGCGAUAAGUCGACCGCCUGGGGAGUACGGCCGCAAGGUUAA
rnacentral:rRNA from 1 species